UUGAGCCCUGUGCGGUGAAAGUCGCACGCAGGGUUCUUAGGAGGCUUGGGAGUGGUAACACUCCCCGGCUAUCCGAC
rnacentral:ncRNA from 1 species